rnacentral:rRNA from 1 species
UACAGAGGGUGCGAGCGUUAAUCGGAAUUACUGGGCGUAAAGCGCGCGUAGGCGGUUUUGUAAGUCGGGUGUGAAAUCCCCAAGCUUAACUUGGGAACUGCAUUCGAGACUGCAUAGCUAGAGUAUGGGAGAGGGAAGUGGAAUUUCAGGUGUAGCGGUGAAAUGCGUAGAUACCUUGAAGAACUCCGAUUGCGAAGGCAGUCUACUAGGCCUUAACCGACGCUCAGGCACGAAAGCGUGGGGAUCAAACAGG